AUGAACGCUAGCUACAGGCUUAACACAUGCAAGUCGAGGGGAAACGAUAUUGGAAGCUUGCUUCCGAUAGGCGUCGACCGGCGCACGGGUGAGUAACGCGUAUCCAACCUGCCCAUCACUUGGGGAUAACCUUGCGAAAGUAAGACUAAUACCCAAUGACGUCUCUAGAAGACAUCUGAAUGAGAUUAAAGAUUUAUCGGUGAUGGAUGGGGAUGCGUCUGAUUAGCUUGUUGGCGGGGUAACGGCCCACCAAGGCGACGAUCAGUAGGGGUUCUGAGAGGAAGGUCCCCCACAUUGGAACUGAGACACGGUCCAAACUCCUACGGGAGGCAGCAGUGAGGAAUAUUGGUCAAUGGGCGAGAGCCUGAACCAGCCAAGUAGCGUGCAGGAUGACGGCCCUAUGGGUUGUAAACUGCUUUUAUAAGGGAAUAAAGUGAGUCUCGUGAGACUUUUUGCAUGUACCUUAUGAAUAAGGACCGGCUAAUUCCGUGCCAGCAGCCGCGGUAAUACGGAAGGUCCGGGCGUUAUCCGGAUUUAUUGGGUUUAAAGGGAGCGUAGGCCGGAGAUUAAGCGUGUUGUGAAAUGUAGACGCUCAACGUCUGCACUGCAGCGCGAACUGGUUUCCUUGAGUACGCACAAAGUGGGCGGAAUUCGUGGUGUAGCGGUGAAAUGCUUAGAUAUCACGAAGAACUCCGAUUGCGAAGGCAGCUCACUGGAGCGCAACUGACGCUGAAGCUCGAAAGUGCGGGUAUCGAACAGGAUUAGAUACCCUGGUAGUCCGCACGGUAAACGAUGGAUGCCCGCUGUUGGUCUGAAUAGGUCAGCGGCCAAGCGAAAGCAUUAAGCAUCCCACCUGGGGAGUACGCCGGCAACGGUGAAACUCAAAGGAAUUGACGGGGGCCCGCACAAGCAGUGGAGUAUGUGGUUUAAUUCGACGCAACGCGAAGAACCUUACCAAGUCUUGACAUCCCUUGACGAACAUAGAAAUAUGUUUUCUCUUCGGAGCAAGGAGACAGGUGGUGCAUGGUUGUCGUCAGCUCGUGUCGUGAGAUGUUAGGUUAAGUCCUGCAACGAGCGCAACCCCUGUUUCUAGUUGCCAGCAUGUAAAGAUGGGAACUCUAGAAAGACUGCCGGUAAUAAAUCGGAGGAAGGUGGGGAUGACGUCAAAUCAGCACGGCCCUUACGUCCGGGGCUACACACGUGUUACAAUGGCAGGUACAGAGAGACGGUCCUUUGCAAAACGGAUCAAAUCCUUAAAGCCUGUCUCAGUUCGGACUGGGGUCUGCAACCCGACCCCACGAAGCUGGAUUCGCUAGUAAUCGCGCAUCAGCCAUGGCGCGGUGAAUACGUUCCCGGGCCUUGUACACACCGCCCGUCAAGCCAUGAAAGCCGGGGGCGCCUAAAGUCCGUGACCGUAAGGAGCGGCCUAGGGCGAAACUGGUAAUUGGGGCU
rnacentral:rRNA from 1 species